CCUACGGGAGGCAGCAGUGAGGGAUAUUGGUCAAUGGGCGCGAGCCUGAACCAGCCAAGCAGCGUGAAGGAUGACUGUCCUACGGGUUGUAAACUUCUUUUAUGAAGGAAUAAAGUGAGGCACGUGUGCCUUUUUGUAUGUACUUUAUGAAUAAGGAUCGGCUAACUCCGUGCCAGCAGCCGCGGUAAUACGGAGGAUCCGAGCGUUAUCCGGCUUUAUUGGGUUGAAAGGGAGCGUAGAUGGGUUGUUAAGUCAGUUGUGAAAGUUUGCGGCUAAACCGGAAAAUUGCAAUUGAUACUGGCAUUCUUGAGUACAGUGGAGUAAGGGGGAAUUCGAGGGGUAGCGGGGAAAUGCUUAGAUAUAACGAAGAAAUCCGAUGGCGAAGGCAGCUUACGAAACUGCCACGGACAUUGAUGCUGGAAAGGGUGGGUAUCAAACAGGAUUAGAUACCGUGUAGUC
rnacentral:rRNA from 1 species